rnacentral:lncRNA from 1 species
AGGAGACUGUCAGCAGACCACCUUGGAGGGGAUGCUAGGAGCUGCCGAAUGUGUGAUUCAAAGAUUAAUUCCAUGUGUUUGGAGAAGAAGCCCUAUCCUCAACACAAAGGUUGGCCACAUUCCAGCCAAGGUAGCACGGAGUGAAGGCCCGCGGAGGGAGUGCUGGGCUUUCCUGAACUACUUCAGUACACCUUGCUGUGCCUCGGCCUGCUGUGUUUCAUCCCCAUGGCUGUCCUCAGUGAUGUGCAUGGUCACUGCUCCCUUCACCGCUGAGAAGACGGGCACAGGACAGUCAGGGGACGUGUCCAGGGUCCCACAGCAGGAAGGGCUGGAGCCAGAAUGUGGUCUGAGAGGCUGGAUAUACAAAGAGACAAUGGCGUGACCAUCUGUACAAAUGGAACUAUGGCCCACAACCUGAAGCAGCCAGCCCAGGAAGCCAACCCAUUACCUGCAGCAGCCAGGCUGGACGCUGGCCUGCCCUCGACCACAACAUUGAACCCAACAUCCCCCUAAGUAAAUUGUACUCACAUCAUUGGUCUUAUGGGGAAAUUUUAAGACCUCCCACUUGCAAGGUUUUAUAACCCUCUAUGGAAUUUUGAAGAAAGAGUAAAAUGCAUCCAAAAAAAAAAAAAACUAAACUGGAUAAAUUCUAAGGCCUCUUCAGGUCUUAAGAUGGCCAUUUUCUAGGUCCUCUUGUUGCAGCAGUGAAAUCCACAAACAUGGACAAGUCAGUCAAUUACGUACCUUUCAGAGAAAACUUCUGACUUAGGAAUUCCAGCUAUUUCGCCCAACCCAUAUUAGACUGUGUU